rnacentral:rRNA from 1 species
UGGGGAAUAUUGGACAAUGGGGGCAACCCUGAUCCAGCCAUGCCGCGUGGAUGAUAAGGCCUUCGGGUUGUAAAAUCCUUUUGGCAGGGACGAUGAUGACGGUACCUGCAGAAUAAGCUCCGGCAAACUUCGUGCCAGCAGCCGCGGUGAUACGAAGGGAGCUAGCGUUGUUCGGAAUUACUGGGCGUAAAGGGCGCGUAGGCGGCUUUGAAAGUCAGGAGUGAAAGCCCAGGGCUCAACCCUGGAAUUGCUUUUGAUACUUCAUUGCUUGAGUGUGGGAGAGGUAAGUGGAAUUCCCAGUGUAGAGGUGAAAUUCGUAGAUAUUGGGAAGAACACCAGUGGCGAAGGCGGCUUACUGGACCACAACUGACGCUGAGGCGCGAAAGCGUGGGGAUCAAACAGGAUUAGAUACCCCCGUAGUCC